AUAGUUAGAAUUUUAUGUAAUUGCUGCAUACCAAUGAAACUGAAGGCAGAAACUGAAGGUAUAGGGCCUCUGUAAGACCAGGUUUGAUAUUGGGGCGGAAUGAUGGACAGACGAAAAACUAUAUAUAGAAUGAGUGUAGCAGAGAUGAGGAUAUUGAGAUGAAUGAGUAACAAGACAAGAGGGGACAAAAUUCAAAUGAAUCUAUUUGAAAAAAUUUAGGUGUGGCACCAAUAGGCGAUAAGGUGAAAGAGAGUAGAUUUAAGUAGGCUGAUCAUGUGUGGUGCAGGCCUAGCACAACACAUGUUAGGAUGUGUGAGUUAGUUCAAGUAGAAGACUCGAAAAUGGCAAGGGGUAAGCCCAAAAAGACGUGGUUAGAAGUAGUCCAAAAAGAUAUAAGGACUUAUGAACUCACUGUGACUUUAAUAGAACAGAAUGACGAAUAAGGAUUUGUGUAGC
rnacentral:lncRNA from 1 species